rnacentral:rRNA from 1 species
UGGGGAAUCUUGCACAAUGGACGAAAGUCUGAUGCAGCGACGCCGCGUGAGCGAUGAAGCCCUUCGGGGUGUAAAGCUCUUUCGACAGGGACGAUAAUGACGGUACCUGGAGAAGAAGCUGCGGCUAACUACGUGCCAGCAGCCGCGGUAAUACGUAGGCAGCAAGCGUUGUUCGGAAUUACUGGGCGUAAAGCGUGCGUAGGCGGUGCUAUAAGUUCGGUGUGAAAUCUCCCGGCUCAACUGGGAGGGUGCGCCGGAAACUGUGGUGCUUGAGUGCAGGAGAGGUAAGCGGAAUUCCUGGUGUAGCGGUGAAAUGCGUAGAUAUCAGGAGGAACACCUGCGGUGUAGACGGCUUACUGGACUGUGACUGACGCUGAGGCACGAAAGUGUGGGGAGCAAA